CAUGCCUCCAUCAGGACAGACCAGUGCUGUGCUGAGGCCCAGCAGAGCCAGACACACGAUCCCCAUCUGCAGCGUCUGAACAUGAGGAAAGGGCUGUCAGCAAACGUAGUUGUGACAGACCUCUAAAUCACUGUGGGGAAUGAUAACAAAGCUCAGUAAUCACAUGACACAGGCACACGUGACUCUGCAGUUUGGCGUUAAAGGGACAUUACACCGAAGUAACCAAUCACAUGGGCUGAUUACUAAUACAGUUCCCGAGAGGCAGCCCAUCUUGGCCAACCUCAAGCUCAGAAAGAGAAAGAGAGAGACCGACAGGCCGGUAAAUAUGACUGAAUUAUCCUAAAUAAUUGCCAGUUAAUUUUCUGCUGAUCUAAUAAAUGGAUUAAUU